AACAUCAUCCCAGAGCGGUUAAGGCGCUAGCUUCAGGUGCUAGUAGAGAAAUCUGCGUGGGUUCGAGUCCCACUCUUGUCA